GUAGGUGGCAAGCGUUGUCCGGAAUUAUUGGGCGUAAAGCGCGCGCAGGCGGUCCUUUAAGUCUGAUGUGAAAGCCCACGGGCUCAACCGUGGAGGGUCAUUGGAAACUGGGGGACUUGAGUACAGAAGAGGAAAGCGGAAUUCCACGUGUAGCGGUGAAAUGCGUAGAGAUGUGGAGGAACACCAGUGGCGAAGGCGGCGUUCUGGUCUGUAACUGACGCUGAGGCGCGAAAGCGUGGGGAGCAAACAGGAUUAGAUACCCUGGUAGUCCACGCCGUAAACGAUGAGUGCUAAGUGUUAGGGGGUUUCCGCCCCUUAGUGCUGCAGCUAACGCAUUAAGCACUCCGCCUGGGGAGUACGGCCGCAAAGGCUG
rnacentral:rRNA from 1 species